UACAGAGGAGCCAAGCGUUGUCCGGAUUGACUGGGCGUAAAGCGCACGCAGGCGGCAUCGCGCGUGGGGUGUGAAAUCUGGCCGCUUAACGGCCAGGCGCCAUCCCAUACGGCGAGGCUGGAGCGAUGCAGAGGUCGGUGGAAUUGCCGGUGUAGUGGUGAAAUGCGUAGAUAUCUGGAGGAACACCGGUGGCGAAGGCGACAUCCUGGACCAACACUGACGCUGAGGAGCGAAAGCCAGGGGAGCAAACGGG
rnacentral:rRNA from 1 species